rnacentral:rRNA from 1 species
GGGGAUAUACCGGAUAGAUCACUUCGGCUGGAAGGCGUUGUGGUUGAAACUUCCGGGGCUUUUGGAUGGGUCUGCGGCUGAUUAGGUUGUUGCCGGUGUAAUGUACCGUCAAGCCUGUAAUCAGUACGGGUUGUGGGAGCAAGAGCCCGGAGAUGGAUUCUGAGACACGAAUCCAGGCCCUACGGGGCGCAGCAGGCGCGAAAACUCUACAAUGCAGGCAACUGCGAUAGGGGAACAUCGAGUGAUCCUCAUAUUGGGGGUCUGUCCACCCGCCUAAAAAGCGGGUGUUAGCAAGGGCCGGGCAAGACCGGUGCCAGCCGCCGCGGUAAUACCGGCGGCUCGAGUGGUGGCCGAUAUUAUUGAGUCUAAAGGGUCCGUAGCCGGCUUUGCAAGUCUCUCGGGAAAUCCAGCGGCUUAACCGUUGGGCUGUCGGGGGGUACUACAUUGCUUGGGACUGGGAGAGGUAGGAGGUACUCAGGGGGUAGGAGUGAAAUCCUGUAAUCCUUUGGGGACCACCGGUGGCGAAGGCGUCCUACCAGAACAGGUCCGACGGUGAGGGACGAAAGCUAGGGGCACGAACCGGAUUAGAUACCCGGGUAGUCCUAGCCGUAAACGAUGCUCGCUAGGUGUCACAACAGUCGUGAACUGUUGUGGUGCCGUAGGGAAGCCGUGAAGCGAGCCAC